UACAGAGGUCUCAAGCGUUGUUCGGAUUCAUUGGGCGUAAAGGGUGCGUAGGUGGCGCCAUAAGUCAGGUGUGAAAUCUCGGGGCUCAACCCCGAAACUGCACUUGAUACUGUGGUGCUUGAGUACUGGAGAGGUGCGUGGAAUUCCCGGUGUAGCGGUGAAAUGCGCAGAUAUCGGGAAGAACACCCGUGGCGAAGGCGGCUCUCUGGGACGGUACUGACGCUGAGACGCGAAAGCGUGGGGAGCGAACAGG
rnacentral:rRNA from 1 species